AAAUUGACACCGUAACUUCGGGAGAAGGUGUGCCGCUGGCGGUUAGUGACUUCGCGUCACGAAGCUGUUGGUGGUCGCAGUGAAAUGGCGGUUGUGACUGUUUACUAAAAACACAGGACUCUGCGAAGUCGUAAGACGACGUAUAGGGUCUGAUGCCUGCCCGGUGCUGGAAGGUUAAGGGGAUAUGUCAGCGCAAGCGAAGCAUUGAACCGAAGCCCCAGUAAACGGCGGCCGUAACAAUAACGGUCCUAAGGUAGCGAAAUUCCUUGUCGGGUAAGUUCCGACCUGCACGAGGGCAUAACAACAUCCGCACUGUCUCGACCAGGGACUCAGCGAAAUUACAUUGGGGGUGAAGAUGCCCUCUACCCGCGGAAAGACGGAAAGACCCCAUGAACCUUUACUGCAACUUGGCAGUGAUUUUCGGGUUGUUCUGCGUAGGAUAGGUGGGAGGCUUUGAAGCCGGGCUUCCGGGUUCGGCAGAGCCAACGUUGAAAUACCACCCUGAAUAAUCUGGAAAUCUAACCUGCGCCCAUGAUCUGGGCGGGGGACACUGCCUGGUGGGCAGUUUGACUGGGGCGGUCGCCUCCUAAAUUGUAACGGAGGCGUGCGACGGUUCCCUCAGGCUGAUUGGAAACCAGCCGUAGAGUGCAAACGCAUAAGGGAGCUUUACUGCGAGACUGACAAGUCGACCAGUUGCGAAAGCAGGUGUUAGUGAUCCGGUGGUACCACAUGGAAGGGCCAUCGCUCAUCGGAUAAAAGGUACUCUGGGGAUAACAGGCUGAUCGCGCCUGAGAGUUCACAUCGGCGGCGCGGUUUGGCACCUCGAUGUCGGCUCAUCGCAUCCUGGGGCUGGAGCAGGUCCCAAGGGUUUGGCUGUUCGCCAAUUAAAGCGGUACGCGAGCUGGGUUUAAAACGUCGUGAGACAGUUUUGUCCCUAUCUUCCGUGGGCGCAGGACACUUGAGAGGAGCUAUCCAUAGUACGAGAGGACCUGGAUGGACGAACCUCUGGUGCUCCGGUUGUCACGCCAGUGGCAUAGCCGGGUAGCCAUGUUCGGAACAGAUAACCGCUGAAGGCAUAUAAGCGGGAAGCUGGCCUCAAGACUAGGUGUCCCUGACGCAAGUCACUAAAGGCCCCUCGAAGACUACGAGGUUGAUAGGCUCGGUGUGGAAGCGCUGCGAGGCGCGGAGCUAACGAGUACUAAUAGGCCGUGGGGCUUGACCCC
rnacentral:rRNA from 1 species